UCCUGAGAACCAAGAGCAAGACAUUGCAGACUACCAGUAGUUGAAAUGGGUCUUCCAGCCCUCGGGCUGUUAGGGUUCCUGGGGCCAGUAGGGUGGGGGGCAGCAGCGCUGGUAGGGGUGGUUAUAUUUAUUAAGGUGGUAAAAAGAAACAGAGAGAAGAAACUUUGUAUUUCUCCAGGAACUCACAAGUGUUUUGGUGACGAGAGAACAUGGUUCAAGGAGGAAAAGUCUAAUGAAGAUUUUGGAAAAACUGGAAACGCGAGGAAGAAAGGAGAAGAACGUGCCGUCAUGACGAACAUGAUGAUGACAUAAUAAAAGGUUACGGCCUUGGACAUGUUCACAAAUAUAAAAUGACAAAAAAUGUAGACCAUCUCGGCGUGAUAAGGAGAAUAAAGGCAUUACAGAGGCAGACCAUAAUCCACCUAAAGAUUCUCUGAAGAAGGCCCUAAACCAUGUACGACUGGAUCGUCUCCUACAAGUGAAUCCAAGGCUUCAUGAGAUGAUCAUGAGCCUUGAUUAUGACCCAACUGGACAGAACCUGUUAACCAUGAGGGUUCUUUACCAGGAUCACAGAGAUGCUCUGAACUGGUAGCAGCAAAGAAUGUAAAAUAUGCAGGUGGCUUCUGACACAAACAAUUCUAAGCGGAAAAGAUGAUUGUGCAGUAAAAAUGCUGAAGCAAGCUUUUCAUGGAUCAUCCUAUAGCUUCCCAGAUGCUCAGAUAUGAUGCUGGAUUUGUUGACGCCGCACUACGUACAGAGGGUAAAGUUGACAUGUCUGAUGAAGGCACAAGGAGCUACUACAGAUAUGGCCACACUGACCUGGUCGAUGAAUAUCUCUACAAGGGGAUAAUCAACGAUGGUCAAGCAAAAGACCUCAAAAUAUGGGUGAAAAGAGAGAUGCAUCUGGACCGGGAUACCCCAGAGUAUAAGGAGAUCCUURAAGACAUUAAUGAUUGUUUCUAGGACUGCUUUCAUAUGUUGUAGGCUUACUCUUACAGCAGUAUCCAAGUGAAAAGAAUCAAAAGUAUACCUUCCAUCACUUAGUGAUCAUAUUUUGGAGUAGCCUACAAUUUCAUGAAUUUCAUGUUGAUAAUCUCAUUUUAUAAUUAUAAUGUUUUGCUUUACAAAAUUAUUGGUUAAUUAUGUGCAGCAUUGUGCUACACAAUUAAAUAGCCUCUAGAAGCGUAUCUGUCACGCCCUGACCAUAGAGAGCCCUCGGGGUUCUCUAUGGUGUUUUAGGUCAGGGCGUGACUAGGGGGU